UCAUCGCUGAACUGGGUUAAUGUUGCAUGAGCUGCUUGUGAAGUAGUGGCCUUCAAGAAUAAACUUGAAACUCUUGUUGCUUUGGUUCCUGCUGCAGGAGGGUUUGGACCAGAGCCAGAGGAGAUGCCAUCAGAUAAUCCAGUUGAAGGAGAAGGAGCUGCAAUAGCUGAGGAAAGCUGUGAAGAUACUCAAGGGUCUGAUAGCCAGGCUCUUGGUGAACCAGUGACCAGAGAGGAUUUUUUACACUAUUCUGGGCGCUUCACUCUGGAUCCAAACACAGCAAACGAAGACCUCCAUCUGUCUGAGUGCAACAGAAGGGUAGAGUGUAGAGAGGAGGCCCUGCCCUAUCCUGAUCAUCCAGACAGAUUUGACUGGUAUCAGCAGGUCUUGUGCAGAGAGGGUGUAUCUGCCCGCUGCUACUGGGAGGUAGAAAUUGGUGAAAGGGUUUUUAUAUCAGUGUCAUAUAAAAGCAUCAGCAAGAAAGGACGGGGCAAUGAGUGUUUGUUUGGAAGUAAUGAUCAGUCCUGGUGUCUGGACCUCUACACCUCCAGCUUAUCUUUCAGACACAAUCAGAAAGAGACUAAACUCCCUCUAGUGGCCAGCUCCAGGAUAGGCAUAUAUGUGGAUCACAGGGCAGGAGAUCUGGCCUUCUACAGUAUCUCUGACACAAUGACCCUCCUGCACAGAAUCCAUACAACAUUCACAAAUGCACUCUACCCUGGGUUUAGGUUAUAUUAUGGAUCAUCAGUGAGACUAUUAUGAGGCCCCUACAAGUAAAUACUGCUCCUGUGUGUCAUUCAACACACGUGGCAAGUAUUUGUUUCAUUCGUGUAGUCCGUGGGUGUUGCUUUAAUGGGCCUGCUGUAUAUGAGAGGUUGUAUAUAAGCAACAACAAUAGCAAAACAAUAAAUGGCUUCAGCCAACUGUUGUGUCAUGUGCUCUUAUUUUGAUGCAGGCUGUAUCACCAUAUAUAUAGCCUACCGUAGGUUGCUAGGAGACUCAGAUAUGUUUAUGCUCUUGAA